rnacentral:rRNA from 1 species
CAGUCGCCACGGUAAUACGUAGGGUGCAAGCGUUAAUCGGAAUUACUGGGCGUAAAGCGUGCGCAGGCGGUUCGCUAAGACAGAUGUGAAAUCCCCGGGCUUAACCUGGGAACUGCAUUUGUGACUGGCGGGCUAGAGUAUGGCAGAGGGGGGUAGAAUUCCACGUGUAGCAGUGAAAUGCGUAGAGAUGUGGAGGAAUACCGAUGGCGAAGGCAGCCCCCUGGGACAACACUGACGCUGAGGCACGAAAGCGUGGGGAGCAAACAGGAUUAGAUACCCCUGUAGUCCCUGUCUCUUAUAC